rnacentral:rRNA from 1 species
UACGUAGGGUGCAAGCGUUGUCCGGAAUUAUUGGGCGUAAAGAGCUCGUAGGCGGUCUGUCACGUCGGCUGUGAAAACCCGAGGCUCAACCUCGGGCCUGCAGUCGAUACGGGCAAACUAGAGUACUGCAGGGGAGACUGGAAUUCCUGGUGUAGCGGUGAAAUGCGCAGAUAUCAGGAGGAACACCAAUUGCGAAGGCAGCUCGCUGGGACGUAACUGACGCUGAGAACGCGAAAGCGUGGGGAGCAAACAGG